rnacentral:rRNA from 1 species
UACGGGGGGGGCAAGCGUUGUUCGGAAUUACUGGGCGUAAAGGGCUCGUAGGCGGCCAACUAAGUCCGACGUGAAAUCCCCAGGCUCAACCUGGGAACUGCGUCGGAUACUGGAUGGCUUGAAUUCGGGAGAGGGAUGCAGAAUUCCAGGUGUAGCGGUGAAAUGCGUAGAUAUCUGGAGGAAUACCGGUGGCGAAGGCGGCAUCCUGGACCGACAUUGACGCUGAAAGGCGAAAGCUAGGGGAGCAAACGGG